rnacentral:misc_RNA from 1 species
CAGAGUUCAUGCCCGAAAGGGUAGACCUCCCACCCUUGAAUAAACUACCUUUGUUGCUUUGGCGGGCCGCCGCAAGGCUACCGGCUUCGGCUGGUGCGUGCCCGCCAGAGAACCUUCAAACUCUGAAUGUUAGUGUCGUCUGAGUACUAUAUAAUAGUUA